GACAUAGGUGGCAAACGUUGUCCGGAUUCAUUGGGCGUAAAGCGCGCGUAGGCGGCUCGGAAAGUCGGGCGUGAAAUGCCGGGGCUCAACCCCGGGACUGCGUCCGAUACUUCCGAGCUGGAGGUAGGUAGGGGAGAUCGGAAUUCCUGGUGUAGCGGUGAAAUGCGCAGAUAUCAGGAGGAACACCGGUGGCGAAGGCGGAUCUCUGGGCCUUACCUGACGCUGAGGCGCGAAAGCUAGGGGAGCGAACAGG
rnacentral:rRNA from 1 species